GAGAUGAUACAUUCAGAGUGUUUAGCACAGUGCCUGACACAUAAGAAGCCCUUGUUUCAUUUGGUAUUAACUCAAUUAAAAUACAUUCUCAAUGGAGUAGGUUAUCUUGAAGCUCUGUUUGCUUGAUCGCCUGGGGAAGGGGGUGUGGGUGGCACACAGGAAAGGGUGAAGAACCGAGUGUCUGUCUGAAGGUGAUGAUUAUUUCAGAUCGGCAUUGUCCUUGUCUAAGUUGUAAUCAACAGGCCUUCACAAUGCCAGGAAAGAGUGAUGUAGCUGACUGUCAUCACAAGACGCUGCUCCUCCUGGGCAUGGCUGGUCUCUGACGAAGAAGCUACACCCAUUUCCACAAUAUGGAUGUAGAACAAACCAGUAUUUCAUUUAUUAAAACAAGGCAGGAAGAGAAGCUGUAAUCCAUUCUCUCUCAUGCGUAUCUAACAGGCAAGCUUUGGACAUGGCCUGUGAGUCUUUUCCUGGACCACGUAGGUUCCACUUCCUGCCUCCCAAAGGAUCUACGAAGGAGGGAAACUUUACUGCUAGGAAGUCUUCAGCCGGGGGGCAAGGAGGACCCCUGAGCCAAGGGUCCCACAGUCAGGUUUCACAGUCCAUCUGCUGUGCUUUAAACGCUGGUAAAGUUACCAGUCAUAUAAACGAUGGCCCAACACAUUAACAUGUAGCUUCCAAAAACAAUUACUGUCUACUCAUCAAUUUAGGUAAACUAUGUAUGAAGGAGAA